rnacentral:rRNA from 1 species
GGUAACUUAGUCUUAUAUUCACUAUUAGUGGAUCACAAAUCUAUUCACCUAUAUCACCAUUCAAGAAGAGUUUAUCCUAUCUCCCCGUCACCCCAACCAAACAAAUUUUAAUCAAACCCCCCUCUCUCCCCAAAUAAGUUUAUUAUAUACAAAUUGUCAAACUCUAUAGGGUCUUCUCGUCCUCCAACCUUAUUUUAGCCUUUUAACUAAAAAGUUAAAUUUUAACCCAAUCCCCAUGAGACAGUAAACACCUCGUCCAACCAUUCAUACCAGCCUCUAAUUAAGAGACUAAUGAUUAUGCUACCUUUGCACGGUCAAAAUACCGCGGCCCUUCAAUUUUUCAGCGGGCAGGCCAGACCUCUUAUAUUCACAAGAAGCGAUGUUUUUGAUAAACAGGCGAGCGCUUAUUUGCCGAAUUCCUUACAGAAACCUUUCACAUUAAAUUACUAUUACACUUUCUUAUACUAAUUUCAUCAUUAUUACUCAUUACUUUUUCACUCCUAAUGACACCUUGAUACAUAAACUAAACCCAAUAAAAUUAAACCACCCCUCAGUAAACUAUAACGUUAUUUUGUGACGGCUGAUUUCAAGCCUACUCUCCUAAAUAACUUAUCUGUUAUAAAUUUAUCCCUAAGCUUAUCCCUCGAAAUAUUAACAAUUAGCACUUAAGUUAAUUUACACUAAUCAAACUAACACUCUUAUCUGAAUUAAAUUCAUUUCUCAAAGAACUAGAAACCUUUAAAUUCGUCUAACAUUUCAUUUCUAAAAUGGUAUUUACAAUAAAUUUACAACUUUAACUAAACUACCCUUCUAGCCCACUUAAAAUCGAGAAAAUAAAAUCUUUCACUUCAUUUAAUAAACCCUGAUACACAAGGUACAACAUAAAAUCUACUUUUCAUUAAAUUGAUUUUCAACUCUUUCACCAUUCCUUCACAGUACUUUCACUAUUAUUCACUUUAUGACUUCCUUACCCAAUACUACCACUAAUUUAUACAUAUUGUUUUACUUACACAACUCAAAUUAUUAACCUUCUUAAUUAGAUUCCCUUUCAAAAUAAAUUGAAUUGCACAAUAACUUCUCAAUGUAACCGAAAUGCUUUACUCACCAAGCUCUA